rnacentral:misc_RNA from 1 species
UUCGUCAGUAAGUUCACAGUGAGUCGUCUAGCUCAAGCACGACUCAUGCUAAAAAAUAUCAGCUGACUGGAAUUCAAUCUUAUCAAGUCAUACAGGAAAUUGAGAAAAAUUUGCGUAGACAUUUUAAAUUUAGUUGUGUGUGUAUGUGUGUGUUAUUUCAAUCCGGACAUUAAAAUGCAAACUGAUAGUCUUUAAUUAUAUCUGAGCUCGCUAAACGUAGAGCUGAAGUGUGACAUUUAAUUUUACAUUGCACAUCCUCGGCCUCUCUUAUCUUCUUGAGUGUUUAGGGAUAAAUAUAUCAAAGCAGUUAUUCUUUCGUAAACAGUCUUCGCGUGGUUUCGUCAUUGAACAACGAUAUAAUCGACAAAAAGAUACAAGAGAGGUCGAGAAAAAAUUGAAAGAAGAUGCGGGAAGCCUUGUUGAUUGGAUUUCAUGUGAUUGCCUGUGUGCAAUUUGCUUUUUCUGUUUACUAUGACUUCACCUUUACUGUGGUACCAAAUGGUAUUCUCAAGAUUCAUGGUGCUUUUGGUGGAAAGUUUAAAUUUCUCACAUUUUGGGAUGCGAUAAUACAAGCUAUAUUCUUCUUUUUGUGUGUUCUUAAUGAUUUCUAUGGUACUAACAAACUCGUUACAAAAAAUGUGCCAGUCAUGCGACGUAUCAAGGAUUAUUUCCAUGCAACAUACAGCUUCCCACUUGCUAUGUUUGUAGGAAUUACAUUCUGGUCAUUGAUGUUUAUUGAUCGAGAAUUGGUACUGCCAAAAGCCUUAGAUCCAUAUUUUCCAUGGUGGUUAAACCAUCUAAUGCACACUAUGAUCAUGGUGUCAACAAUUAUUGAAAUGAUUAUUGCACCAAGGCAAUAUCCUAAGAGAUUAAAUGGAUUGAUUGGGCUUUAUGCUCUUAUGUUAACUUAUUUAAUAUGGAUGCACUUUAUUUAUUAUAUGAGUGGUAUUUGGGUGUAUCCAGUAAUGGAAGUGCUCUCCUUGCCAUUAAGGAUUCUGUUUUUCCUGACGCUAUUUGCAUUCAGUGGUUUUCUGUACUACGCUGGCGAAGCCUUUGAUCAUCUCGUUUGGGGUAACGAAAAAUCUAAGCAAAAAAUUCAUUCAAAAUCGAAGUAGCCUCGUGCUCUGUCGCCGAGAGGUGACGGGAAAACAUACUCUGCUGUCAUUGGUGGUGGUACAGUUAAAAGAACAUCAAGUACAACAUCUAAAAAGAAGAAAUCCAAAUAAGAGUCUUAGCUGAUUAAACUCGACAGUGCAAUUACAUAAAGUAAUAAAUAUUAGCAAUAUUGUUUUUAUAAUCGAUUUAUAUAAAAUCUAUUAACUCAUUUGUACGGAUUGUAAAGUUGAUCAUUUUUAUUUAUAAAAAUAGUCGAUAAAAUAUAUAUGUUAAUGGUUUUAUUUUUGUAUAAUUUUCGUUACAAUGUUGACAUCGUUCAGGUGAAUAACAAUUUAUCAAACUGAAAAAAAUAGAAUUAGAAAAUUGAAACAUAAUAUAAAAUGUAUGUACAAUAAUAAUGAUGAUAUUGAUAUUAAUUCAUUAUAUAAAAAAUUAGAUGAAACAUAUAUAAUUGAAUCAAUGCCUUAGUUAAAAAUGUAAAAAUGUGUUCGAAAUGAAAGAAUGUGACAUUACUUAAUAAAAAUAUUUUAGUGCCUAAGAGUAAUUACUUUAAAUGUCUGCCUAUGUAUUAAAUAUAAUAUUUCUUACAUUUAAAAUACAUUUCAUUUUAUACACAGCUUAAAAAUAGAUAUUGUACAUCACGAGAGUUUUUUAGAAAAAUUUUUUCGUAUAAAAGAAAGCGUAGACGACAAGUUA